UGUACUACAGAGAGGACUCUAGA
rnacentral:snRNA from 1 species